rnacentral:rRNA from 1 species
CUGGCUCAGAACGAACGCUGGCGGCGUGCUUAACACAUGCAAGUCGAACGCGAAAGGGACUUCGGUCCUGAGUAAAGUGGCGCACGGGUGAGUAACGCGUAGAUAACCUGUCUUCAUGUCUGGAAUAAUACGCCGAAAGGGGUACUAAUACCGGAUAUUCUUGCUUUUCAUAAGUUAUGCAAGCAAAGGUGGCCUCUGCAUAUGCUACUGCAUGAAGAGGGGUCUGCGUACCAUUAGCUAGUAGGUGGGGUAAUGGCCUACCUAGGCGACGAUGGUUAGCGGGUCUGAGAGGAUGAUCCGCCACACUGGCACUGGAACACGGGCCAGACUCCUACGGGAGGCAGCAGUGAGGAAUAUUGCGCAAUGGGGGAAACCCUGACGCAGCGACGCCGCGUGAAGUGAGGAAGGCCUUCGGGUCGUAAAGCUCUGUCAAGAGGAAAGAAGUGUACAAUGGCUAAUACCUGUUGUAUUUGACGGUACCUCUAAAGGAAGCACCGGCUAACUCCGUGCCAGCCGCGGC